rnacentral:misc_RNA from 1 species
AACGCACAUUGCGCCCUCUGGUAUUCCGGGGGGCAUGCCUGUUCGAGCGUCAUUGCAACCCCUCAAGCACAGCUUGUGUGUUGGGCCAUCGUCCUUCUGGACGGGCCUGAAAUGCAGUGACAGCACCGAGUUCUGGUGUCUGAGUGUAUGGGAAUCUCUUAUCGCUCAAAGACCCAAUCGGCGCUGAUGUCAGAUUUUUAUCCAGUUUGACCUCGGAUCAGGUAGGAGUACCCGCUGAACUUAA